CCAAGAGAAUCAUUGUCACUGAACUCCAGCUCCGGGAAAUGAGGAGUAGAGAUGUUAAACAGUGGUUUCCCGUUUUCCUGCCCCAUCAAAAAUUCCUGAGGAAUAUGUACCUGACCCAGUGAAGGACACGUGCCAGACCUCUGGGGUGUCCCAUCAUCCCCGAGAGACUUCUGAGGAGUCAGUCGGAGGAUGCUUUGUUGCUGCUGCUUUGUAACAACAUCGUUGAAACUGAAACCUAGUCAAGGAAGCACCCUGGCCCAGAAAACUGAGAGAAGCAACCAGGGAGAAGAGAAAAUGGAGACUUAGAGAAGCUGAACCCUGUUCCCCAGCCUCCACCAACUUCUUCAAACUGUGUGGCGCUCCGUUCUCUGCACUGCAUGCCCAUCACCAUCUUAAUCAGAUCUCCACGAAGCCUUCACAAGAUCAGGCCUGUUGUUGCUCCCUCCCAGAAGGGUCACUAGGCCUUCACCUGAACCUCCACCCACGCCCU